CUCAGAUGUCCACAGUGCUGACUGGGAGAAACUCUGGGUUCAUUAUCUGGGGGGAAAAAUCAAGUUAUCUUCCUGCUUACAGUGGGAACCAGAAUAAACUCCCAACGCGACAGACAAUGUAAACCAGGGAAGCCCCAGCUCCUGGGAUUCUCCUCCUCUCUCCCUCCUCACUCAGGGUGUGGAUUUCAACACAGGCAGCGUCCUGGAAACUCAGCAGGGUAGAGGAUCAUGGGAUGCAAAGUCUGUUGGGGGUCCGUGGAAUCCCCUAUCCUGGGGGGGGUCUCAACCUGGGGCGAUUUUGCACCCAGGAGACAAUCAUGAAUGCCUCAAUUGGUGGAUGCCACGGGGCGGAGGUCAGGAGUGCCACUCAGCUGGGGCAGCCCCACAACCAAGGAGGAUUCAGCCCCAAAUGCCCACAGUACCAAGCAGGAGAAGCCCGGUGCAGAAGAAGCUGCCUCCCGGGCUGGAGUGCAGCAAGACAGUGACAGCUCACUGCAGCCUCAAACUCCUGGGCUCAAGUGAUCCUCCCUUCCCAGCCUCCUGAGUUUCUGCUACCACAGGUAUGCACCACCACAACCAGGUACAAUGUAAGAGGGUUUUUGUUGUUGUGAUGGUGGUGGUGGUGGUGGUUUGUUUGUUUUGUUUUGUUUUGUUUUGAGAUGGAGUUUUGCUCUUCUUGCCCAGGCUGGAGUGCAAUGGCAUGAUCUCAGCUCACUGUAACCCCUGCCUCCUGGGUCAAGCAAUUCUCCUGCCUCAGCCUCCCAAGUAGCUGGGAUUACACGCAUGCACCAUCAUGCCCAGCUAAUUUUGUGUGUUUAGUAAAUACAGAGUUUCUCCACAUUGGCCAGGCUGGCCUUGAACUCCCAAACUCAGGUGAUCUGCCCACCUCAGCCUCCCAUAGUGCUGGGAUUACAGGCAUGAGUCACUGCAACCAGUCUCAACGUGAGUUUUAAGCAAAUGCAAUUAGUCUGUGACAGUCAUCUUCCGAGGUUCCCGGUGGAUAAGAAUUUUGAGGGGACACCACUAAACCCACUGCAAGGGAAGUGAGCAUUACUGAGGUCUCAGUAAGUUCCUGGGGUGUGUGGGAGGGGAAGAGGUCGCCCAGGAGGAAGGCACUGUGGUAAGAAAAGGUGACUGUUGGUGGGGCCCCUGUUUACGGAAGUCUGUACGAGUCACACCGCCUCUGUGUAAGCUGUGACCUUCAGAGCACCUGCAGGAAGGAGCCACAUCACCCCUUUUAUAAAUGAAACUGGGGCCAGGUGCAGUGGCUCACGCCUGUAAUCACAGCUCUUUGGGAGGUAGAGGCAGAUGGAUCACAAGGUGAGGAGUUUGAGACCAGCCUGGCCAAGAUGGUGAAACCCUGUCCUUACUAAAAAUUGAAAAAAAGCAGCCAGGCAUGGUGACAUGCACCUGUAGUCCUAGUUACUUAAGAGGCUGAGGCAAGAGAAUUGGUUAAACCCGGGAGGUGGAGGUUGCAGUUAGCUG
rnacentral:lncRNA from 13 species